CGUGGGCAACGCGCCUGUAAGACUGGGAUCACUUCGGCAAACCGAAGCUAAUACCGGAUAGGAUCUUCUCCUUCAUGGGAGAUGAUUGAAAGAUGGUUUCGGCUAUCACUUACAGAUGGGCCCGCGGUGCAUUAGCUAGUUGGUGAGGUAACGGCUCACCAAGGCAACGAUGCAUAGCCGACCUGAGAGGGUGAUCGGCCACACUGGGACUGAGACACGGCCCAGACUCCUACGGGAGGCAGCAGUAGGGAAUCUUCCGCAAUGGACGAAAGUCUGACGGAGCAACGCCGCGUGAGUGAUGAAGGCUUUCGGGUCGUAAAACUCUGUUGUUAGGGAAGAACAAGUACGAGAGUAACCUGCUCGUACCUGAC
rnacentral:rRNA from 1 species